ACCGAAGCUUGUAACCGCCUCCGGGCGUGACGGGCGGCUGGUAUCCUCCUUCUGAGGGGUGUAUGUUGCAGCUUGGGCCGGCCCUUAUGGGCCGCGAACCCCCUAUUCUGCGGCGGACCAUCCCUUGGGCAACUCAGUGGGGGCAAUUGGAUGGCCCGUAGGCGUCUUCGGCGGCUUCGGCCCUGGAGGUGGCUCGGGCCGGGUGCUGGGCUCCGGUCCACGUCCCGACCUUUCUAACUAGCUCUGAUACCUCUUCAUUGAGGGUUGCCGGAGAGGUCUUUCGUCUUUCGGGGCGGAGGGUCUACCCGGGAAAGAUAGUUACCUGGUUGAUUCUGCCAGUAGUCAUAUGCUUGUCUCAA
rnacentral:misc_RNA from 1 species